rfam:Plasmodium coatneyi strain Hackeri chromosome 1, complete sequence.
CAACCUUAACGAUGGAUGUCUUGGUUCCUACGGCGAGGAAGGCCGCAAUUAAACGCGAUAUAUGUGACACGAAUUUGAAUAAACGAAUUCCUGAAUAUUCUCCGUGAAUCAUCUAUUUAGCCGAACGCAUGAAUGAAAAAGUGCUC